GAUGAACGCUGGCGGCGUGCCUAAUACAUGCAAGUCGAGCGAACAGAUGAGGAGCUUGCUCCUCUGACGUUAGCGGCGGACGGGUGAGUAACACGUGGAUAACCUACCUAUAAGACUGGGAUAACUUCGGGAAACCGGAGCUAAUACCGGAUAAUAUAUUGAACCGCAUGGUUCAAUAGUGAAAGACGGUUUUGCUGUCACUUAUAGAUGGAUCCGCGCCGCAUUAGCUAGUUGGUACGGUAACGGCUUACCAAGGCGACGAUGCGUAGCCGACCUGAGAGGGUGGUCGGCCACACUGGAACUGAGACACGGUCCAGACUCCUACGGGAGGCAGCAGUAGGGAAUCUUCCGCAAUGGGCGAAAGCCUGACGGAGCAACGCCGCGUGAGUGAUGAAGGUCUUCGGAUCGUAAAACUCUGUAAUUAGGGAAGAACAAAUGUGUAAGUAACUAUGCACGUCUUGACGGUACCUAAUCAGAAAGCCACGGCUAACUACGUG
rnacentral:rRNA from 1 species